GAGUUUGAUCUUGGCUCAGAUUGAACGCUGGCGGCAGGCCUAACACAUGCAAGUCGAGCGGUAGAGAGAAGCUUGCUUCUCUUGAGAGCGGCGGACGGGUGAGUAAUGCCUAGGAAUCUGCCUGGUAGUGGGGGAUAACGCUCGGAAACGGACGCUAAUACCGCAUACGUCCUACGGGAGAAAGCAGGGGACCUUCGGGCCUUGCGCUAUCAGAUGAGCCUAGGUCGGAUUAGCUAGUUGGUGAGGUAAUGGCUCACCAAGGCGACGAUCCGUAACUGGUCUGAGAGGAUGAUCAGUCACACUGGAACUGAGACACGGUCCAGACUCCUACGGGAGGCAGCAGUGGGGAAUAUUGGACAAUGGGCGAAAGCCUGAUCCAGCCAUGCCGCGUGUGUGAAGAAGGUCUUCGGAUUGUAAAGCACUUUAAGUUGGGAGGAAGGGCAGUAAAUUAAUACUUUGCUGUUUUGACGUUACCGACAGAAUAAGCACCGGCCAACUCUGUGCCAGCCGCCG
rnacentral:rRNA from 1 species